UACAUGGGGUGCAAACGUUGCUCGGAAUUAUUGGGCGUAAAGCGCGCGUAGGCGGUUACUCAAGUCGGAUGUGAAAGCCCUCGGCUUAACUGAGGAAGUGCACCCGAAACUGAGUAGCUAGAGUACUAAAGAGGGUCGCGGAAUUCCCGGUGUAGAGGUGAAAUUCGUAGAUAUCAGGAGGAACACCGGUGGCGAAGGCGGCGACCUGGGUAGAUACUGACGCUGAGGCGCGAAAGCGUGGGGAGCAAACAGG
rnacentral:rRNA from 1 species